UAGGGUAUCUUCCACAAUGGGCGAAAGCCUGAUGGAGCAACGCCGCGUGUGUGAUGAAGGGUUUCGGCUCGUAAAACACUGUUGUAAGAGAAGAAUGACAUUGAGAGUAACUGUUCAAUGUGUGACGGUAUCUUACCAGAAAGGAACGGCUAAAUACGUGCCAA
rnacentral:rRNA from 1 species